rnacentral:snoRNA from 1 species
GAUGGCAGUGACGAUUCCAAAUAUUCAAGCUCAACAGACCAAAUCACAGGAGCCAUC